UCCAAUGUGGUGUAGUGGCUAACAUUGCUGUCUUUCAUCAGGGCGAGUUCUUGUUCACAGCAGCCCGGGGUUCGAUUCCCCGCAUUGGAA